rnacentral:rRNA from 1 species
UACGGAGGGUGCAAGCGUUGUCCGGAUUUAUUGGGUUUAAAGGGUGCGUAGGCGGCUAUUUAAGUCAGUGGUGAAAUCCAACAGCUUAACUGUUGAACUGCCAUUGAUACUGGAUGGCUUGAGUACAGACGAGGUAGGCGGAAUUUAUGGUGUAGCGGUGAAAUGCAUAGAUACCAUAAAGAACACCGAUUGCGAAGGCAGCUUACUAGGCUGUAACUGACGCUGAGGCACGAAAGUGUGGGGAUCAAAC